rnacentral:rRNA from 1 species
CUAGCUUCAGCGAUGGAUCGGUCGAUUCGCGUAUCGAUGAAAAACGCAUCUA